CAUAUUUAAUUUUAUUACCAUUUUACAAGUAGUUACUUGGAUCUAAAUUUGAUCAAAUUUUGAUUAGUCUUUUAAAAUUGAAUGCUUACUAUUUAAUUAUACUUCUAAUUUUGAAUGUUAGUUAAGCGGUGCUUUUAGUUUAGAUGAUGUGUCAAUAAUGUAAAGCGAACGCAGAUGACACAAACCGACGUCGUCGUCAUUUUAAUUUACAGGAUUUUGAUGCAUAAAUUAGGGAUUUCACGCAAAUUGGGGGAAAAUUGAGGAUGCGCAUGAGGCUAUCAAGAAAUCGAGGAGGAAAUGUACAUAGAAAUUAUUACUUGAUUCGGAUCUGAUCGAACCAUUUGAAAAAAGGACAAAAACAUGUUGAAGAUUGCAUAAAGGGAACAUAUCAAUGAGUACAUCUGUCAACAAGGAGAGGUCUUCCCCACCAAAAGAUUGAGGUUGUCGUUUUAGUCCCUGAAUAAUCGACCAGGGAGAAAUUGAGUUCCACUGCACUAACUACUAAGAAGAAUGGAGCCGAGAAGGUGAGGGCCUCAGUUAGAAGGUCAGUUUUAAUCCACAUGUAUCAUGUUAUGUAAAUUCUCAUAUGUGCAGAGGAGGUCAAUAAAUAUUAGUAGUACAUAAACUUCUCAAUUUGCUUGUUUAUUAAAUGAAAAGUCUCAGAUCACUUAUUCCAUAGUAAAUUUGAUACGUAAUUACCAUUUGCUUCUAAACUUUUACUUUUGUAUUAUUGAGAAUCAUUCAUAAUGUCAAUAGUUCACCAUGCACUAAA